GAGCCCCAGACCCCUCCAUCCCCAGGGAAGCAAGGUGGGCAGUGAGCAGAUGGUGGGAGGAGAGAAUGUUAGCCUGGGAAAAAGAGGAGUAAAGACACUUAGAAGGGGAAGGAGAGCUGGAAAGAAGAGGGAGAAAUUUCUAUAUUGUAGGCUCAGUGAAAACAUUGCUUCUUGGAUGCCUGGAUACUCUUUGGCAAGAAGCACACAUUUUGCAGACGUGUAUGAAGUCAGGAUGGCUGGAGCCAGCUGGAACUGGCUCACAGACAGGACGUCUGCCUCCUCACUCAACUCCACUGCUCUCUGGGCUAAGAAGAUCUCAAGCUGAGGAUACAAGAAAGAUUGGUUCAGGCUGUACAUGAUGGCUCACACUUGCAAUUCCAGCACUGUGGGAGGCCGAGGCAGGAGGAUCGCUUGAGGCCAGGAGUUCAAGACCAGCCUGGGAAACAGUGAGACCCUGUCUCUACAGAAAUUUUUAAAAUUAGCCAAACAUGGUGGUAUAUGCCUGUAGUCCCAGCU
rnacentral:antisense_RNA from 1 species